UCUUAAACAUUGCAGGACUUGAGACAGUUGAUGUCUUUAAUAGCAUGCAAUUAAAUCAAACAGAGACAUCAAGUUGUGACAUAAUUUUGCAGAAAUUUGAAGAGUAUUGCAUACUCCAAAAGAGUGAAACAUUUGAAAGGUAUAAAUUUCACUUUAGAAGACAAGAGGAAGAAGAGUCCUUUGAAAAAUUCCUAACAGAGCUGAAGCUAAUGAGCCAAGCCUGCAACUACGAACAAUUAACAGAUUCAGUUAUAAUGGAUCCAAUUGGAAUUGGAAUCAGAGACCCAGAGCUGCAAAAAUGACUACUGGAAGAUAUGGAUCUCACUUUGGAUAAAACAGUAAGACUGUGUCAGGCAGCACAAAUCACUCCAAACAGAAUAAAAAUAAUGGAAGGAAAAUAGGACACCGCCAAUCUUGAUAGAGUGACAAGAGAGAGAAAAAACUGGCAAGCAGUAAGUCACUAGAGAACAAAAAACACAGAGAAACCUGAAAAAAACAAAACGUGAGAGUUCACAAGCGACAGCUUCAAGCAUGGUACAAGAUGUGGACACAAAUACAGACCUUAACAAUGCCCGGCUUUUGUUAAGCGCUGCAACGUUUGUAAGAAAUGCAGUCAUUUUGCCAAAGUCUGCAACCAGGAUCAACAACAGCAGACAAGGAGGCAAAGCCUGCAUUCCGAAGCACUAAUCUCGGAAGAGAGUACAGACAGCAGCACAGAAGACGAGUUUUAUCUAGGAGUUGUAUCUGAAGAGGAAGGAACAGAUGAAUGGACAAUUUCCUUAGAGACUAAUGGGACUCUUAUAACCUACAGAUUGGACACUGGAGCUCAGUUCUGCACUGCCUGCCUGGUUUGCCUGAGAAUGAGGCUCCGCUCUGCAGCAUUAAUCCCCACGUUAGGGGUGAAUUCUGAAUGGCCCUCAAAGGUCAAGGAUCGGCAUUUGCAUUGAAAGUACAGCAUCUAGCACAAUGGGACUCCAGUCUCACGUCACCGAAUGAAUGGAAUUCCAGUCCACCCUGAAAUCAUUCACUCAUUGGAAGAGAGCAGCAGAUCUUGGUAUCAGGCUGUGAGUCACAAAAAAUGCGGGACUGGUCAAUAGUGCAGAGGGCAGGCCACUGAUACAGAGCAAUCAGGAUCACUUGCCCUCGACCUCUACAGGACCUCCACAAUUCACCCACACUGCAGUAGAAGCCCAGGCCAACAUACUUUCAUGGACCGUUCAAAGGCAAGUGUUUCUGUGAUGAACUCAUGGUUGAAGUUCUGGAGAGGGCCAACAAGCAAGUUCAGAACCAAAGACAGAGGGACUUGUGGCUGGUGGAAAGGCCUGGUGAGAGGCGAGAGUGGCGAAUGCCAGGUGCUUCAGAGGGAAUGAACAGAACAGGCAAUUACCGAGUGAUCCAUCUCUCUGCCACGCCGUCUCCCCUCCCUCCAUCCAUGCUGCCUUGUAGAGUGCGAGGCUACAUUAACUACAAUGAGUUAAUCCUUGAGGGCUCAGCCGAGUGUUAGUUCAUCAUUUAGCAGGAAGGCAACACUUGGGAAAUAUCCCACCCUCUUCCACCCUCUGACUUCACCGCCUCAACCAAGCUUCACAAUCAUCAUUGCUGUGUACAGUACUAAAUUGUUUAAAACUUAUGCUCUGUGUGUGUGUGUGUGUGUGUAUAAAAUACAGUCUUUUGUCUGGCAAAAAAAAUUUCCCUGGAACCUAACCCCGCAUAUUUACAUUAAUUCCUAUGGGGAAAUCAGAUUUGCUUAACACCGUUUAGCUUAAAGUACCAUUUUUCAGGAACAUAACUACAACAUUAAGCAAAGAGUUACUGUAAUCCAUUCAUCCAAUCCAUACUUUUUUAACUUGCUGACCGUGGGAGACCCUAUCAACUGGAAUUAAUUUGCAAACUGGACACCAUCAAAUUAGGCCUGAAUAAAGACUGAGAGUGGAUGGGUCAUUGCAAAAACUAAUUUCCUCAUACUGUUACUCACACUUUCUUGUCAACUGUUUGAAAUGGGCCACCCUCAUUACCACUACAAAAGUGAUUUUUCCUCCCUGGGUAUGAUAUUGUUAAUUGAAUUGUCUCGUUAGACUGACCCCCCACUUGGUAAAGCAACUCCUAUCUUUUCAUGUAUUAUGUAUAUAUAUAUAUAUAUACCUGCUACUGUA